rnacentral:rRNA from 1 species
CACGUAGGGUGCGAGCGUUGUCCGGAAUUAUUGGGCGUAAAGAGCUCGUAGGCGGUGUGUCGCGUCGGCCGUGAAAACCUGCAGCUUAACUGUGGGCUUGCGGUCGAUACGGGCAUCACUGGAGUUCGGCAGGGGAGACUGGAAUUCCUGGUGUAGCGGUGAAAUGCGCAGAUAUCAGGAGGAACACCGGUGGCGAAGGCGGGUCUCUGGGCCGAUGACUGACGUGAGGAGCGAAAGCGUGGGUAGCAAACAGG